CAACUUUUAACAACGGAUCUCUUGGCUCUCGCAUCGAUGAAGAACGCAGCGAAAUGCGAUAAGUAAUGUGAAUUGCAGAAUUCAGUGAAUCAUCGAAUCUUUGAACGCACCUUGCACUCUCUGGUAUUCCGGAGAGUACGCCUGUUCGAGUGUCAUGA
rnacentral:rRNA from 3 species